CAGCCUCUCAGAGUGCUAGGAUUGCAGGCAUGUGACCAUGUCCAGCUAGGAAUCUGCUUUCUAAACAGUUACCCUAAGAGUGUAUCUUUAGGCAUCAGCGUAUCUUUAAAUAGAAUAGUAUCAUUGCCGUAAGCCGAGAACAUUUUGAUAGAGAUUCCCAAGCUCCAGCCCAACCUAUUGAACUAGAAUCUUUGAGGAACUCUAAAUUCUGUACUUUUUAAAAAGAACUCCAAGCAAUGCUGGUGCCCAGCUGGAUUUAAGCAUCCUUAAAAUAAUGCUGACCUCUCUUUUUCUCAGGUCGGCUACAUGCUGUGAGAUACCCUCUCAUGACGCUGCGCAGCAGCAGUGAGCCUGAACAGCAGCUGCCAGGCAGCCCCGCGACCACAAGGGGAAGCAGUUGACAGGCUACAGUGUGCUGUGUUGCUAAGCUACAACGUUCGCUAGGCAAGAUGUAUUAAAUGCAUCUUCAACUCAGGAGAUUUUCAAUUUACAAGGGGUUUAUCCAGCAGAACCAUUAAACUCAGGAUGAUUUAAAGCAUAGAACUGCUAUUCAUAUUUUCUUACAAAGAUGUCGGGAAUCACAAAAAAAGAAACAAGCCUCUGUUCAUCUCCUACCCCAUGUUUCAGACAGUGAACAAAAGAAAUAGAUCGUGCAGGAUUUUAGGACAAGACAGAAUUUGAAAGAAGUCGAGAAGCAGCCAUGGUCGAGUAAAUACAGAUUCAUCCUGAAUAAGGGAUGGGAUUUUUCACUGGACAGCUCUGAAAGAGCACAGAUUGAGUCAAGGGUAGAAGGAAACAAAUACAAUGAAACAGCCCCAAUUUGGAAACAAGGCGAAUUUUAUUGCAUGUGAAAAGGAGUCACAUGGAGAUUG